rnacentral:misc_RNA from 1 species
GUAUUGAUUGCGUGUGACCGCAAAAAUAACAUUCUACACUGUAUCAAGUUUUGUGUGAAAACGUGAGCCCUCCUGCAAAGGGGACCCACGCGGUGAUGCACAAGGGGUGAAAUGGAUGUGUGAGAGUGCUCAGGCGUGCACGACCUUUUCAAAAGUCAGCGACAACCCCAGCACCUCCAUUGUAUGAUAAUGAUCCUUCCGCAGGUUCACCUACGGAAA